GUGCUCACUUUGGCAGCACAUAUACUAAAAUUGGAACGACACAGAGAAGAUUAGCAUGGCCCCUGCGCAAAAUAGGGAUAGGAGAGAAAGUAGUCAGCCCUUCUUAU